UUAUUAUUAUUAUUAUUAUUAUUAUUAUUAAAUGUUUGGUAAUUUUGGGAACUGGGUCAUAGCAUAUUUAUUCAUGACAUGAUUCAAUCAAAUUUAAAUAACAGAAUUCAUAGGGAAAAAAGCCUAAAAAUUAAUCAUGAACAUAUUUUCAUACUGUAUUGUACUGUAUAAGUGAACAACCUACAUAUUAUGUAGUAGUACAAUUUUUUAAAAAUCAUUUCUUACAGCAACAACAACAGCAGGGUUUAGAAAAUCUUCCAUAUUCAAUAUUUUCCAAAGUCAUGACCAGUCAUUUCUAAAAUUCAAUAUCAAGUAAAUAUCAAAGUAGAAAAACAUUGUAUGAUUUAUUUCUUGCAGUAGCGGCAUAAAACACUGUCAUCAAUCUCUAAAUAUCCCUGCAUACUACUUUUCCCUCACUGUGUUUCAUCUCUGUCUGUCUCCUUGGUUCCAUUCUACUUUGCAAUAAUUAUAUGAGAGUUAGGGUUGGGUUAUAACGGUGGGCAAGAUUGAGUAGAUUAACAUUAUUAUGUUUUACAUAAUUGGAAAACUCUUAAGACUGUCUCAAUUAACCUGAACCAUGCUGUGUUGUCAUAAAUGAAAAAAAAAAAAAAACACAAUUAAAUUAAAAAUAUAUCAAAUUUGAAUUUUGUACUGUCUAUAUUAUGUAUAUACCGUAUGCAUCAUAAAUAUGUGUAUUAGUCAUGAUCGAUUGAUGAAAAUCUAGCCAAAGCAUAGCAUAUAAUUUUUCGCACGUCAUGAUUUUUGGGGUCAACGACCUGUUUGAUCCUGACCACACCCCCUUAUAUGAUGCUACAUAGCCUAGAUGAAGUCAUGUAAUUUCUAUCAAGCAGGUCCACUGCAAGGGGUAUACAGUAGUAACAUCAAUUUUGACUUCAGGCUACAAAACAAAAGCUGCUAACUUGUAAUGUCCCAAUUUACCUGACGUAACCCUGUUAAUAGUAGAUUUUAGUUAGUAAUUAUAGACUGGAAAUGAUUGUCACUUAGUUCUUGCUUGCUGGAGGAUAAAUGUCCUUCUGACUCAGUAACAGAGCCAUAGACUGCCCUCCAGUGGUGUAACAUUCACACUGCAGCCCAUGCAUUCUGAUACACCAGAAAUGGCAGUCACUACAGUUUGUCUUGGUUCUAUAAUUCGAUAUUAUUAUAAUGUUAAAUUACUGCGUGCUUUAAUGCUUUUUUCUGUCUCUCUGACUUGCUUACUUUGUUAAAUCAUCAGUGUGUGUCUGCGUGUAAUUGUUUAUUCUUGAGAGAAUGCAUUUACUUUAGGUGUCCACAAAGGUAUUGUGCUGUCUAACGUCAAGCACAAAGCACUAAUCCAACGCAGACCGGAGUGGAGCAAUAUUCUGUCCGCUCUUCUGUCUGGUGGUUUCUGUAUAACAAAAAGAGAUGUGAAACAAAACCUUUCAGCUAGCUUUCUUUCUGCCAGCGUCUACUGGUUCCCCUGCCUGGAAGGUUUUCAGUCAGAUGCAAAGAUCUUACCGUGAUGUCAUGUUAAUGUCAGUCGUAUGUCUUUGCAGAUGGUAAUUACGAGAUUUGAGACGAUGGCGUACUGUAAAAAAAAAAAAAAAAAAAUUGUCUAUAGGGCAAAUGAUGCUGACAAAAUGAUUACCAGUCUCUCAGAAGUUACUGAAUAUCUCUCGACAUCACUGAUUGAAAUCUGCUCAUUUUUAUUUAAUCGGUGUCAUUACCAUGAGUAAUACUCUAAUUAAUACUAUGUAAUAGUGCUGUAAUUACUCAGACUAAGAGCUCUCUAAGGGUGAACACUGACGUACUUUAAGACAUAGUGCAUAUCUUUCUUAUACAUAAAUAGUCUCUUUGUACACCUGAAGAUUUUUACAGUCCUUACAGUGAUGUAAUCAUUGAUUGUACAGGUGAAACUGAAAGCUAUAUGUAGCCAUACAUAGAUUGAGGUAUUUAAAGGAUGGAUUUAAGGAUUUUCCUUCUCUCUCAUAUUCUCUCCAUGAACAAGACCAGAACUCCAGGCUGAUGUCCACACACUCCCAGCUGUUGUCUCUCAUUCUUGUAUGUUUGGCAUGACAGCUGUCAAUCACAUCACUUCUUGACACACAGCCCUGCUGUCUUCCCCACUUGGAAAACAAGCUACACACACACACACACACACACAUGCUGAUGUGUGAUGGGCUAAAUCAAGCCCAUGUAUGGUUCUUCAACGACUUUAGUUUCAGUGUGAGUUUAGAUGUGAUGCAGCGUCCUUGCUGGAUUUUUUGUUUUGUUUUGUAUUGUUUUGUUUUCAUGCUGCAGCGUGCAUGCACAUGUGUGUGCUGUGCAUGUUCACGCGAAGCGCGCGCGAUGGCCGCCGGCCGCCGGCACUGUCAAAGACGGUCUAAUAUUAGCGUCUGCCUGAUGGCUGGCUGUAUCUGGACAAGGAGAGGGCGAUAAAUGAGGAUAGCAGUGGCCAGAAAGGGGGGCUGAGCUUGCAUCGAAGGGAGGAAUUUUUAAAAGGGAAACCGUCCACGUCGUAAAGGUGAAGAGCAAGCAGGGAUGUGCACGCUGUUCUCUAAAACAGAUGACAAAAACGCAUGUCAUUGUAGUCGCAGAGAGAAUCUGAAAUUGAAGCCAAGACAGAAUGAUGAAGAUGAAAGAUCAUGCCCCAAAAAAAAGACAAAAAGGAAGAAGGAAGUGUUUUGUAGGAAUUUCUCCCCCCACCCCACCUCCAUACAGUGUCAAUGAUUUGCGCCUGUGCACUGAAGUACGUCGGCAUUCCCCCUUCCCUUCGUCCCUCCUCCCCAUCAUCCCUGGCAGCUCUCUCCCCCCUCUCUCAACCCAAGCCUGGGGGAACCAGUGGAGAUUAAAUGUAGCCUCUAUAAGCCAAGCACAUCAUGUAGCUAUGUUUAUAGGACCAGCUCUCUCUCUCUCUCUCUCUCUCUCUCUCUCUCUCUCUCUCUCUCUCUCUCUCUCUCGCUCUCUCUCUCUGUCUGUCUCUCUCUGUCUGUCUCUCUCUCUCGUUUUCUUUUAUUCUCAUUUAAACCUGCCUGAGUGGGUAUCUAUGAGAUGUAGAACAGAGAUGGGCAGGCUGAGUAGCUCCCAAGAUAUAGGUUGAAAUGAAAGAGAGUGGUCGAAAUAAAAGAAGAAGAAGAAAAAAAGAUGGAUAAGAGCAAAGCGGAAGACUUUCUCAACCCCCUCCUUUCUGUUCCUUUCUAUUCCUCUCUGUCUCUCUAGCUCGAUCUGGCUCUGGGGUUGAUAUGGCAUAGAGGUGGGCCUCUGACUUUAACUAAUCACAGCUGUGAGAGCAAAUGUAUGGAUGAUACUACUUUUCUCCCUCUCUACUUCCCUAAUUUUUUUUCCAUCCUGCCACUCAACAUGGAAUUAUAAAUGCAGGACUGGUGGGGGAUAUGGGGGUGGGGGGGUCAUGCUUUUCCUCCUGCACCCCCCCCAACCCUUCAAUUUUACUCAAACAGAGAUGGAAUGAGAGGAAAAGUGUGCACACGGCGGGAGAGAGAGAGUGAGUGAGUGAGUGUGUGUGUGUGUGAGAGAGAGAGAGAGAGAGAGAGAGAGAGGGAGGGAGGGAGAAAUGUAAGACAGAUACAGAGAAUGAAAGAGAAGAAGGGGGUGUGGAGAGUGGAGCAGAAGCUGCACAGUGCACUGAUGCCUGUGCCUCUUUUCAGUCGCCUCGUCCGCAGCUUUUCUCGUCAGGGAGAUUUGUGCUUUCCUUUUUGGUUUUCGCUGGCUGCGAUACCAGGGAUAUACGCCUACAUGGAGCCACUGUAGCUAAUCAACUCUGGACCAGUGAGGCUACGGGAGAAAGCGGUCAGCUGUGUCCUUACAACCAAACCUGGGUUUGCCGCAUGCCCAGAGCAGAGACAGAUUUUGACCAUGUGCCUCUCGCAGUCCCUGAGACCCUAACUUGUGACGUUUUGCUGUUCUGUGCACGGGUUAGGCUCUUGGGAGCUGGGAGGGGUACUCCAUCAUCCUAGCACUGUGGGAGACAAAGCCAUUUUAAAGCCAAAUCAACAGUGAAAUGAAUCCACAGUGAAGGGGGGUGGGGGGGGGGAUAUAAGCUAGCCAGGGAUAUGAAGAGAAGAUGGCUUUUUUGGAAGGGGAGGGAUAAAGGAAUGCUGGCAUCAGGGGUCAUGUGACACAUUUGUGGUUCGAAUCAGCUGAGGCUUCAUUGUGAGAGGAGGAUUCCUUUCCAAUGCACAACCACGAGGAGCAAAUGAGCAGUCAUGUAUGGUUUCUCUUCAGCGAGGCCAUACUGUAUGAGUGUCUUUGUCUUCUCCGUGCUGGCUUGUCCUUGCCUAAUGAUUUGAGAGCAGCACAAAGUACUGGUGAGAGCGUGACGCUUACGGCUCGGUACACUUGUGUUUGACCUCAGUGAGAGUCCUCAACCUUGUGCUCUGAAGACAUCAACUCACUCUCUCUUCAGCCUGCUGAUUGUGUGUGUGUGUCUGAGUGUGCGUGUGUGUGUGUGUGUGUGUGUGUGUGUGUGUGUGUGUGCACAUGUGCUCCAUUUCUGCAUGGCAUAGCUUUAGUAUGUAGCACUGCUGUGCUGUUUGUUGUAAGUCAGUGCUGAACGGUGCCAUUAUUAUUUGUAUCUUUUUUUUGGUUUGUGAAAAAUCUGACGCACUCCUGAGACGGAUUAGGGCGGCUUUGGCUUCUCCGAAGCAGGAACUCACAAUGAUAUAGCUCAAGAGAAUAUACCAUUGUACCAGCAUAGGUACCAACAAAGCACUCCUAAUAUAGCUUACAUAUUGAUAAACAAUCAGGCAUGGGAGGUGGUUUUCUUUGUGCUGAUCUUUCCACUAUCCAUAUUACUCAGACACCGAAUGUCCUCUCAUCUAGGUCAUAGCUGACUGACUGCUCAUUAAAAUGGCACCUCGGACUUAAUGGAAUAGCGUGACAAGGAAAAAUGUAUAUAAAAUAAAAAGCUGGGUCUAUGUGUGUAGGUUUUCCUGGGCAAAGGCGCAAUGCGGUGUGGGCAGCAGCUACAUCCUAAUGUAUGACGAGCAUAGUGCCAUCACGUUCACCAGCCAGCCUCACUCUGUUAACCACCACCGAAUCAAAAGAUAGGACUAUGAUAGCGCAGCCGCUCGUGGUGCCAUUUCACAGGGAUGAUGUUGUCAGUCAGGGGUGAGGCACUUUGUCUGGAUGCUUGUCCAGGUAGCCGCAGUCGUAAGAGGAUUUGUUUGGUACACUCUGCUUAGAUUGCUUUCUGGAUUUUCUAAUGAAAAUGCCCAAGCCUCUGUUGCUGGGAUUUCAGUUUCUGUGUGUGUGUGUGUGUGUUUGUGUCAGUAUGGGCUUUGCCCCUGUCUCUGCAGUGCUUUGGUAUCUGAGCUGCAGUUCUAUUGUUUGCUCCUCACGCUGCACUCCUUUGGCACAGGGGCAGCCUCUGCUCGUUUUAAGGUGGACCAGACAUAGGGACAGGAGCCUGGCCCAAGCGUUUAAGGUGGAGCAGCAAAGUCAGGCAGGGCCAGGUGCUUAGAACAAAGGUUGCUGAGGUGAGCUGUGCAGGUGGAGUGACAGAGACAGAUCCACAGUGGGUAACGCCCAUGGCUGGGAAGCUCUGAGCCGUCUCCGACAUACAAUCACACACACAUUUUCUCACAGACCACUAACCAGCGUUGAUCAUUCAGGUAUCUGAAAUCGGGUUUAGAACCCCAAACCUGGUCUUAGCUUCCUGCUCAGCUUUUAUAGAGAUCGCACUGCCACAAAAAACGACACAUUUGAUCAAAUAUCCUGUUUCUCAGAAUGCAAGCAGGUCUCAUGAGAAGAUCCAGUGUUAGUUUAUUACAGUAAGAUUGUUUUUCAUGGUCAGCGAUAUGAGAUUGAGCCUGUUCUGAUGCAAACAGCCGUCUUGAGCUUUCUUGGAAUUCCCGUGUAGGUAAAUGAGACAAGAUGGUGCUGAAGCACGUGGUGCUGCUCUGAACCAAAAUCCUGCAGCGUUUCUGUCACUGUUUCUGUAUUCUUUCAGCAGAUGCAACAGAUAAGGGCUGAGUGAAAAUAUGAUGCGAUAUCACUAUCUAUUGUUGUUCACAGUAUUGAGGCAGUUGAUGCUGUAAUCACUUCUGUCUUUUCUUUUUUAAUGUGGCAACGCUGAUUUGCUGAUUCACACAAAAUAUUAUGACACAUACCAAGUAUCAUGAAAUGAUCAUUUUUUUCCCCUGUCACCUUCCCCAAGUUCAGAUUUCAGCCUUGAAAAUGAGUCUGAAUAACAUGGCAACAGGCUUGACAAUAUUUUUCUCAGCUUUUCUCGGCAUUCUGGCAUAAAUAAAUGUAGAAUGAUCUUGACCCUCAGGUUCUCCUGCUAUUGAAUUGAGUGUUGAAAUGGGUAAUUAGUUUUUACUUUAGCGUUAAUUAAAAAAGACUGCUACUGUAAGUACUCUAUUUAAGACCAGAUACAUUUAGACACAUUCCUAGUCAAAAUAAAAGGGAGUUUGCAUCCAGCACACUUUCUAAAGAACUAUUCAGAUAUGGAAUAUGUGAAAAUAAAGUAGUGAUCUAUAUUCUACUAUUCUAAAUAAUACUCUGUCCAAAAAAAAAAGAAUCCAAUUUUUUUGCCAUAAAUCAAGGUUAGUCCUGCAAAUCUAUGUACUUCGGCCAUGAAUUUGUAGAGUAGGUCACUAAUAUUAUUUUAGAGAGUGCAAUGCUGUAUCACUAUUGUAACAACUGUACUAUAGAUUUCUGAAAUUGGAGGAAUGGUAUAUAAUCUGUGUUCAAUAAAGAGGCGUGUGAAAACUUAUACAAACGCACACACACACACACACACACACACACACACACACACACACACACACACACAUACAGUGACCCAUCUGCCCUCUCGCUGAACAAGGCCCCUAAGAUCUGAGGCUGGGUUUGAGGAGCUUAAACAUGACUCCUACACACCAAACCCGAUUAACCAGCGUGGGUCUAAACUAAUUAGUUCAGGAGGGAAAUGUCAUCGGCAUAUAUCCAAUGCUUCCCUCUCAGCCAUGGGUCCUGCCCUGCACUGGAAUGCUGGUCAGCUCUGUCAUCCUCUCCCCUCGACCUGGCCUCCACACGCAGCGCAGUAUACUUCUUUCAGAGCACUGAGGGCAGUGGUGCUUUAUGGGAAGACAGUGGAAAUCCUCUAAGACAUUGUGGGUGAGCGCCAUGCGGCUCUUUGGCUCGUCUCACUGGCGCUGUUUGCCGAUUGUACAUUGCUUCCACACACGUUGUGAUUGCUUGCCUGAGCACCACGUGCUGUUUGCUAACAUUACAUUAGCAAGGCGUUAAUUAAAUACCUUAUGGUUUGAAAGUGUACAUGAUGUUCCAUCUGGUAGAGAGUUGCUAUAUCUGAAGGUGUUAUGGUUUAUGAAUUAAUAACACAGGUAGUGAAAUUGAGGACUGGUAUUCAAAGUCGGGCCUGUGAAGCAUAGCCAGGAGGUCUGAUUUAUUUAUUUAUUUAUUGAUUUUUAUUUGUUGCAGUGCUGGAAAUCAAAGCACUCCAUUAUUAUAAUUUAUUAUAUUUAUUAUUACGUUCAUAUAGUUAUUAGCCUGCUUGACAGGAAUGAAUGGGUUUCAUCCAAACCUCGAUAACUCAAAAACAAGUAGACCUACAAAUAUUAUUAACUUCUACCUGGUGUAUUCUGUUGCCAUACAUUUCAUGAAUAAAACAUUUAAUAGCUCCUAUAAAUAGAUAUAAUAUUAUUAGACAUUUAAAUAAUAAUCAAAUAUGAAUAGUUGGAUGUUUGAAAGAGUCUGUUAAACUUAUUUUUACAGUUAAAUUUCGUGAAUCCUGUCUGUAUAUGUAGUGCAUGUACAUUUCUUAUUUAUGGCGGACACUAGAAUUAUAUAUUUUGGUUUUGCAUUGUUAUUGGAAUUUGAUGUUCAGUAGAUGAAAUAAAAUGACACUAAAAGGCAAAGUCUGCUUUUCAGUCUGUUCCUCGUUUCACAUCUAGCCUCCCCAGAUUUGUUUUAGCCUGAUUAAUUUGUCAUUAAUAUGCAGACUGUCAGUGUUCUCACUGAAGACAGUCAGUCUGUAACUAUAGUGAUGCUGCUGUCAGUGCAGGCUGGGAGAUUUGCAUGACAGUGGCUGACAAUCGCUUCUCAGCAGCUCGCCAGGAGCAGUCAGUGGAGCCAGGUCUCUAGAUGGUGAGAAAAGGGUGUUGGCAGCUCUCUCUCUCUCUCUCACUCCAUGUCUGUGUGUGAGUCCAUCUGUGUUUGUGUGUAUGGCACAAAGCAACACAAAAAUUCUGGUGCUUGCAUGUACAGUAUCUAAGGACCUAAACAGUAUCAGGUUUUAGGCGUCACUACAUGAACCAUGUCAUACAUCAUAUUUCCUCUUAAUGUCAAAGAAAUGUCAUUAUUAAGAUGUUUAAAUGAUUUGAUAGCUCAUUUGAAAAGCUGCUGUGUAGCCUGUAAAAUAUUUCAGAUUGAAAUAAGAUUAAAAAUAAAGUAAAAUGCGCAUUUAAGUUUGAAACCUUGUUCAGUCACCUGACUUUCAUAUUUUCCUUUGUUCUUUUUGCCUUUUUCAGAAGUGAUUAAAGGUGACAUUAAAAGAGAAUAUCCGGCUUAUUUGUGCAACUUAUUUAUAUCUUACUCACUGGUUGUGAUGCACUAUGUAAACAUGUUUAAUUAUUUCACUUUAUACAAUGCAAUAAUUGCUGCAGAUUUCUAUCAGCUUAUAAUCUCAUUGUCUGCAGCUAACAUAUCACAACAUUGUGUUAUUUGCAAAUAAUGAUUGCAUUGGUUUCACACCUUUUGCCAUUUGGUGGCACUACAUUUUUGUCAAAGCUGUCAGAACAUUUGAAACAUGUUGAUCAUAGGGAUUUUCUUCAUUAUAAUGUGGAAUGUGAUUUUAUGAUUUUAUAUUUUCUACUACGAUUAUCUGGCCCCUGAUUAAACUUUGAUUUUAGAUCUCCAAACUUUGGAUGCUUCUAUGAUAAUCCCAGAUCUAAAGUAGCACUGGAGAAAAUGGCAGCAUGGAAGUUGUUAAGGCUCACCUACGUAUGUUAGGUUCAGCUCUCUAACCUUCUGUUUUAAGAUGAAGGAGGACAGGAAGUAAUGGCUUCACUUCACAGAGCAACAUAAACUGUCCUUUACAUAACUGUCUUCUUCCUGUGCAUAACUGUCUUUAACAUUGGCUCGCAAUAAAUUAUGAUUUUAUAUAUAUAUAUAUAUAUAUAUAUAUAUAUAUAUAUAUAUAUAUAUAUAUAUAUAUAUAUAGUUUUUUUUAAAGGGAACAGCAUAAUUUCAUAGGGAACAAAUAUUUAAUCGGAGAUAAUUGUAUUUCUAUAUUGACAUAAGCUACUGAAGGAAAAAAAUAUUUGUUCUUUCACAAUUUCAAAAACAACAACUAGGAUUUCAAAUAUAAAUCUCACAAGUUAUCUAAUACAAUAAUGUAAUCCUUUUUGCAGUACUAUAUCAUUUGUGAUCAUCUGGAAAAUCUGAAUUCGUAAACAGAUUCUCUGAUAUACCAAAAACCCUGCUAUAGAGUUUAACAUUUUUCAUAUCAUAAAUUGUUCAUAUUGUUCCAUCAUUAAUAUUCCAAACCCUCAUUAUUUCAGUGAAGUCAUUCUUCAUUUGGAUUCUUCUUGAACAUGAAGAUUUCCUUGGUUCCUUGUUCUGAUGGUGGUUCUGGCUGCUGUGUGGGAUCGCGUUCUCUAUUUCAGGUAUGCUGCGAGGUUGUGUAAGCGUUCGAAAGACGGCUCAGUGACUUAGCCUGGUCUUAGCCUGCCAUCUUACCGAGGAGAGCUUCUACAGAUUACCCUCUAGUUGACAGCACAGAAAAUAGCAUCAGGCCCAUUUUCUUUCCUUUUUUUUGUUUUGUCAGUAGUCUUCCUUCCUACUGUCUCGCAUUCUCUCCCACUCGGUUGGUGUAUGGCUGUCUCGCUGUCUUUUUUUAUUAUUAUUUUACUUAUUUUUUUAUAUUUUGUUCAUUUUGUGCUCUAUCCAAAUUCUGUCCUCACAUGACUUUUGGCCUACUUACUGUAAUGCUGAGCUCUGGUGUAUGUGUAUGUAGGGAUAUGUGUGUGUGUGUGUGUGUGUGUGUGUGUGUGUGUGUGUGUGUGUGUGUGUGUGUGUGUGUGUGUGAGAGAGAGAGAGACUGCCUGCCUGCCAUGUUGUCUGACAUUUUUUGUCGAGAGAAGGGCUGCAAAACUUCAAAUCCACACUUGGCUUGGCAUCUUUUGCUGAGCUUGAGCACAAACGUUUGUGCCGCCUAAUGUUUUUAAGAGCAGCCAACAAAUUUUACACACAAGAAUACAAGAAAUUUAACCAUGUUUAUGCUGGCAACAUGGCAUCAUGCUUCUAUUUAGUGCUCACACAAUCCUUUAUAUGAAAAUGAACAAAAUAGCUGUAAAUCAUGAUGUAUUUUCUGUAUAAUAGAAAAUAUAAUCGAAAGUUCAUUUUCGAAAGCCCAGUGAGUACUAAAGAAAUAAAUAAGCUAUAUGCAAGUCAAUAUCAUAUAUACCAAUAACUGCCAAAUGGUUAAAUAACCUUUCUGUUGUCUCCCUUUGCACGCUCAAGUCAUUGUGUUUUUUGACAUAAUGUACAUCAUUUCCAUUGAUCUUAAUGUACGUUGAUGUGCUCUGACACCAUAAAACAUUUUAAUGUUACACGUAAUAGGCAUGUAAUUCUUACACAUUUGAAGGUGUGUUUAGAAAUUCCUGAAGGGUGAUGCUAAACAGCGGAUGGGUGGCAGUCUGAAUGUUGAGGUAAAGCCUGGACAGUUCUGUAGCAGAUGGGUGUUAGAUUUUCAGGGCUACUACAGUAAUAACUCCAUAAGGCCACUUUAUGUUUAAACCCAGUGACCCUGCGCAGGCAUGGCAUGCCUGUCUGCCUGUAAUGAGCCCCUUCUAGGGGCUGGAUAUAGGGGCUCCAGUUAAACUCUCUCUCUCUUUCAUGUUUUCACUCUCUCUCUCUCUCUCUCUCUCUCUCACUCUCUCACUCUCUCUCUCUCUCUCUCUCUCUCUCUCUCUCUCUCUCUCUAUUUCCCCCUUUUCUCUCUUUUUUUGUUUCUUUCUUUUGUUCUUGUUUUCUUACUGUCUUUCGGAACACUUCCAGCUGCCGGCUCCCCUCCCUGUGCUCUCUGGAUGUGAGACCAGUGUCAGAUCUCACCACUUUUUCUUUAACCACUAACACACCAGCAAAGACAGAUGGACAAAAGGGGAAAAAAUCUUUUGUUCUCUGUCUGUUUCUUUCUCUUUUGCCCCAAUGCAGAUGAGUAAAUGAGUAGGCAGUGAGGUUCAGGUCAGGUUGGUAGUUCUGCGUGGCAGUGGUGGAGGAGGGGCUUUUUCCACCCCCCGCACAAGGAAAGGUAAUGCUAUCCAUUUGAAAUUCAAACGGCCACUUCCUGCUCGAUAAUCAUUUCCACCUUGGACGGUAUUUAGAGGGCCUUUUGCUGCACGGUGCAUCUUCUGACCCAUCUUUUGAGGAAAAACAGAUUUUGUUUAGAAAUUUAGGAAAAGGCCACUAGACUAAAUAAUAUUUGGGUUACCUACACAUUCUUGCAUAGCUGUUAGUAACUCUAAACCUUCUGAAAUGGUACAAGAUACAUUUCACAUAUUUAACAUUCUAUACAUACAUCCUACAUCUACUUUUACCACAUUUGUCCAUUUAACAUUAACAUUAUUGCCAAGGUUGCUUUUUUCACCACCAGGAAUUUCAAUUCCUGGAAUUUGUCACUAGCUAGAAUACCUUAGUUAAAUUAGAAACAAAUGUACAAACAUACUUUGUGUCCCUUCAAGAUUGACUGCAUAUAGUCUCACUUAUAGCUUGGUACUUGUAGUGCAGCUAAUGCAUUAACUUGGUGGUUUUUAAACAGCUCACUCCAGUAUCUUCUAUACUUGUAACAGCGGUUUUGUAGACCUUGCUGUAUUAGAAAAAACUUCCAUGGACUCUUUUAGGGUUACAGCAGAAAUGUAUUUUGUGAAUAUGAAUCAACUAUUCAAAUAAUAGUCACAUUAGGCAAAUAUGUACCAUCCUGUUUAUUUAGUGGAUCCAUUAGAGCUUUUAAUUGAUGUACUUUAUAUUCAAAAACCCAUACAGUUUAACAGUGUUUUUUUUUUUCCAUUUCCAACAGCAGUUAAAUUUGACUUUAGCUUAAUUAUACCUGUGUUUAAAUGCAGACUGAACUCCUUCAAUUCAAGUGACUAAUCAAUUAGGCAUAUUAAUAUAAUAACAAAAUGACUAUAAUUACUUUAACAGCUUUGAUAAAGGUUCAUCAUGAUCACCACUACUUGAAUGUCAUUUAACAGAAAAACAAAAAACAAAAUAAAAAACCCUCAGACCCUUUGAUUAUUCCUCAUGAACCCCAUUUUAAGAAGCAAAAAUUAUUUCCUUUCUUAUAGCUCAUUAUUAUUUAUUAGCAAUUUCCAGUAUAAUUAAUAGGGUUGUCAUAGAAACUUUAGAGUUUUCUACCUUUUUGUCAAUUGCAGUACUGAAAUCAGGUCUCUCUUCCUCUUCAUCUGUCUUUUUUCUUCUUGUAUCUCUUUCUUUUCAGCCCAUCACUUAUUUUUUCCAGAAUAUUCCAGACACAGUGAUAACCUUAAAAAUUUUAAGGAAACUCAAUGUUUUUUUUCCCCCUUCUCGUUUAGAACAUAGCCAUGAUCAAAGCCAGGAUUAAAAAUUCAUGGAGGCUUUGACUGUCAGAAGAUUUAAGCUUACUGGGUUUAAAACCGAAAUAGGAGUUUCAAAUGACUUCAAAUUUUCAUUUCAUUUUUAAUCUGUCAGUAUAUGUGCUCUUACAUUGGUGCAGUGCUCCUCUUCUCACUGCCUCUUCCGGCUGUAACGAGACGCCUGAUCCUCACAGUUAAUCACUUCUUAUACACUUGCACCUCCUUCUUGUUUUGUAUUGCUCUUUUUCAAAUCUUACAGUUACCAUUUAUUUAAUGAACAUGUACUAUUUCAGCCUGUUGAUGUUCAGUCUGUGUUAUAACAUGUUUACUACUAUUUUGUACUAUUUGAUUGCUGUCAUUUAUAGAUUUAUUAAUGUAUGAUAGACGGGUCCUGUUCUAGCAACAUAAUGAGAACUUUUUGAAAAAUGUAAAAGAAAUGCCUUAAUAAUUACACACAACUAUUUUAACAAUGUAUUUUUUCCCCACAUUUGUUUACAGUCUGGAUAACCAUUUCCUGAGAGAAGCCAUAAACUGAAAGAAUAAUACAACUGCAACCUUUGAAUGUUUCAGAACAAUCUCCGACACAAUGCAUUAAUAAAACAGAUGAGAUAAAUGUAUAAAUUAAAAAAAGGAAAUCUUCCAGAAAUAUCAAGACAAAUUUAAGAAUCCUUAAACUGGUCGAAUUGUGUUCUUUAUGAAAAUGUUAUAAUUAAUAACUUUUUUGUCUUAUUGUCUUUUUGGUUUGUGUCUGGGGUUUUUUUUCCUUCUUUGUUUUGUUUUGUUUUGUUUUUUAAUAAAUGUUUUGGUUUUUUUGGCCCAUUUGCAUUAAUUCCCUGUUUAAAAAUUCACUAAGAAGAAUUCAAAUAGCACAACCCACCCUCUGGGGAAUUUUCACAGGAAAUAUUAUGAUGAAUAAAUGCUCAGUGUAAUCUCUUGUAAAAGGACUGCAUGCGAUUGUAAUAGUGUAAUGCUGCAUUAGUUGAAGUCACGCUUGUAGAGUUAUGUGCUGAAUGUUUUGUGCAGCAUUGGUUGGAUACAGUGUCAUCACACUGCCGACUGAAGUGAAGUGUAGCAACGUGAUUUCAUGCGUCUGCGAGGAAUCUGAAUGUGUUUUCUGCGUGUGGCUAUAAAUAGUGGAAAACGGCUCUUUUCCGAGCCAGAAAUAGGUCCUGAAUUGGGCUCGAAGCCUUGAGCACUUUCCACUUAGCAGCAAAAGCCUCACCCUUUUUGCUCUAACCUGAAAUCUGAUCAUUUCUAUGAAAAAAAGGUUUUGAGGGACAUGGAGCUGUAGAUAAGACAUGAUUUCAUGAUCUCAUAUAGAAAUGCUGUGAAUUGUAGUAUAUAUGUUUGUAUUCUGAUUAGCAGGCAAAAAAAAUAUAAACAUAGGACACUUUUUACUUUGUUAUGAGGGAGUAAACAAUUACAACAACAUUAAUCAACUGUAGAUUAAUUAAACUCUAUAUGCUACAUAUUAUUAUUUUCUUAUACAAUAGAGAAGCAUAUCAGAUUAUUUACUUAUCGUUACUAUUAUGGGUAAGUAAAUAUUUAAAAUAUAUAUAUAUAUAUAUAUAUAUAUAUAUUGUUUAAGGUUCAAGAUUCAGACACUGUAUGCAUCCUCGUACAAUUAAUUUCUUAGUUUGGAUGUUCUCACGGUUGAUUAAAAGAUGGAUGAUGAUAAAAAUAAAAUUAUGACACUGUUAAGAGAACAAAAACAGCCUUAGAAAUUUGUCAUGGACAGAGUUUGCAAAGUUUAUAUAAAUCUACACAGAGACUUUACAGAGAUACAUAUAAACUUAUUUUUUUAAAACUUCGACAUGCACUAGUUCUGGUCAUCAUGAAUUCUAUUAUAUUCUAUGUUAAAAUCUAAAUUAUUCAAUUAUUCUAAAUCAAAAUGAGUUUUGAUUUAGAUUUGGAUUUAUAUCUAAAUUAUUAUUUAGAUUGAAAAUAAACUAGGCAUUUUGUACUAUUUUAAUUAAGUAGAAGUUAAUUAAAGUAGUAAUAAAAUAAGCAGUAUAAAAUUUUUAAAUAGUAUAUAAAUAGGUUAUUUUUACUAUUUUAAUGAACUGUUUGCAUUGUUGUAAACUAUAAAUAUUUCAUUAUUAUUAAAUAUAAUAAAAAUGGUUUAAAUAGUACUUAAUAGAUCAUUUUUACUAUUUUAAUUUAACUGUUUAUAUUGUUCUAAACUAUAACUAGUUAGUUAUAAAAUCAUAGUGAUAGUAUAAAGUCAGUUUUGAUAUUUUAAUGAACUGUUUAUACUAUUUUAUACUUUAAAUAAUUAAUUAUAGUUAACUAGUGUAGAAUAGGUAAUUGUACUAUUUUAAUUUUAUUUAAGUUUUUAAUUUUAAUGAACUGUUUAUACUAUUUUACAUUUACAUUAGUUUUACUUUUAUUCAUUUAGCAAACUCUAAAUUAAUCUAAUUAUUCUAAUUAACUAUAAUUAACUAUUUAGUUCAAGUUUAAUCUAGUAAUUAAUAUGAACAUUAUUUUAACUUUCCAUUACUCUUUUAUUUAACAUUUCCAACGUUUUGCUUGUGUAUGACUGAAUGAUUUUCUUGAUGCAGUUCUUUUCCCUCUUCACCUGCGCGCUCUCUCUCUCUCUCUCUCUCUCUCUCUCUCUCUCUCUCUCUCUCUCUCUCUCUCUCUCGCUCUCUCUCACUCACUCUCUCUCUCUUGCUCUCUCUCUCACUCACUCACUCACUCACUCACUCUCACUCUCUCUCUCGCACUCUAUCUCUCUCUCUAUCUCUCUCUCGCUUUUAAAUAAAAGCUGCAGUUUUCUCCACAAGGUCAAAACUGCCAGAUAAUCCUAUCCUUGUGGGGACAUUAGGUCCCCACCAUGAUAUAAACACACACACACACACACUGGAGUUGGAGUGCUGUGUGUGGUAGUGACUGAGCCCCUUUGAUCUGUCCAUUUCCCUUGUCCUUUGUCAGAAGCAGUCUGAGAGGGGAGUUAUGUGUGUUUGGGGGCUCUGUUGAAGUGUUAACAGAGUUCACCUUUCUUCUUCGUUUCUUCCUUUAUUUCUCCACCAUGCACCCAUUAUCAGUCUUACUCUGUGGCCAGCAAAUAGGGCUAUUAGGCAGUUGCGAGAGUACAGUUGAGAGAUAGGUCUCCUGUUUAUUAAUAAAGGAAGCAGGUCCCUAUACACAGAACUAUAAGUUAGUCAUACAGUGCAGCAGGGAAACUUCACCUUCUGCUGGAAGCCAACAUCUGGAAGGAAUAAGAAGUUGCUAACAGGAGCCUAUCAUGUCUUAAGAUGUGAAUAUGGCUUUUACUUUAAAUCUGAAACCUUUAGUACAAGCCAUUUCUGGAGCACAUAAAGCCUGUGUUUAUUUCAGAUGUCCAUCCAAGUGGGUGAGUGUGGUGACACCAGGGGCUGCAGAAAAUGGGGUUCCAGAGGAAAUAACAGAUGGUAUCAGCCAAGUUCAUGUGCACUUUCUCCCCUCCCCCCCAGUCCUUUCUCUUCACUUCCUGCCAUUCUUUUGGCCCCCGGGCCGCUGCACAAACGGCUAUCGGCUAGGUAUGCGACCAUUCAUUGUGCACCACAGGGGGUCUCUCGCUUCAAACCCGGCCUCUCCAAAAGAAGGUUGUGAAGUCCCAUGGAGUCCCCUGAGCCAUGAGCCAAGCAGACAGGCAUGACCCGACCAGGGCACACAUCAAAAGGGCUGCGCUCACAUCCCUCCACCCAGCCCACACCAUGCCUGCCUUUCCAGAUACCGCCUGCAUUAUGGUGGCACAUUGGGGGUCACCGUACACUUUUACUUUUAGUAAAAUGCCGGAUAUCGAACGUGCACUUCUAUAUGCACUAAGAAGGGAUGAAGAGGAACAAAACAGUUAUCUGAUAGAGAGUUGGAAAACCCACUAGGGGGAAUACCAUCAGAUGAAUAAGAGACGAGAGAAAGAGAGAGAGAGAGAGGGAGAAGCACUCUUAUUUAGCCCUCUCCUGGUUUGCACGGCUUCUCAAGUGGUCCAUGAAAACCCAUUACCUACUUGUGGGAGGGCUUAAUUGAGACUAGCCCUGCAGGUGGACAAUGGCAAGCAGAAACCUGAGUCAAUAGUAGCAUGACUGAAGCACUUCACUGUGGCAUUAAUGGUGGUGUAAAUGACAAUAAACUACUUUGUCAUACAAGGACCUAAUAUAAAGACAUGCACAUAUGUCCGAUUUGUUAGGAGAGCCACACAGUUCUCACUGCUGCUAUGCAGUAUGUACCAAUCCCAUCGCUCUCUGCUUUUAGUUAGAAAAGCAUAAAAUGCACCAGUGAGGAGUUCCCAAAAGCAGUGGAUCUGUCCUGCUUCAACCAGAUUUUUCUUUUUAAAAACUUUUGACUAUAGUCACUUCGCAGAUGCCAAGAAUGCAUUAUGCAGGUGAGUUCAAAAUGAGUGUCAUCAAUUCAGUUUUAUUUAUAUAGCACUUAUAACAAUAGACAUUGUCACAAAGCAGCUUUACAGAAAUUCAAAUGUAAAUUUAGAUCCUUAAUGAGCAAUCCAGACGAGAAGGUGGUAAGGGAAAAAAUCCAGUGUACAAGCUAACAGCUCAUUUUAAGUGUGUUUCUCACCACAUUGAAUUAACCAGGAUUGCCAGGUUUCAGCAAAAUUUUCAGCCUAACUGCGUCUCAUGAAACACACAAAAAACCUGAAAGUAGCCCCCAAAAAACUGAGCAUAGGAAAUUGAGAUCAAUUUUUUGUUUGCACAUGCAUUUCUGAUGUACAGUCAAUAUCCACUGCAUAAUUCUCCUUUGCAUGUCUUACAAUAGAAAUUGUUCUGUACAUUAUAGACACACUGUCUGCACUUACACUUUAAUUACACACAGAAAUCUAUUAGAUUCAAUUCUGAUUGUUUGAUAUAGAACAAGAUCUUGGCAACUGCAGAGAUUUUUAACCUGGCACAAAUUGGCAGAAAAUCCACCAAAUCAUGAAUUGUCCUGUCCACUCAUCAAGUGAAUAUGUUCACAGAAUGAGCAUGGGGCAGUGUGAUUCGUCCCCCAAUUGGCUUCUAUUAGUGUUUGUUUCUGUUGCUGUUCCCAUUUUUUAACUAAAAUCCAUCUUCUAUAUCUGUCAAAAAGUGGUCAUGGGGAACCUGGAGCCUAUCCCAGGGAGCAUCGGGCACAAGGCGGGGUACACCCAGGACAGGGUGCCAAUCCAUCACAGGGCACAAUCACACACACAUUCACACUCUACCGACACUUUGGAAAUGCCAAUCAGCCUACCAUGCAGGUCUUUGGACUGGGGGAAGAAACCGGAUUACCUGGAGGAAACCCCCACAGCACGGGGAGAACAUGCAACUCCACACACACACCACUAAGCCACCAUGCGCCAGUUUUAACUACUAGGUGCAAAAAUAAACCUAUGGAGCUACACUCCUGGGCCAAAAAAAAAAACGAGCCAAUCCCAAAAUGGCAAAUCAUUAAGCUUUUAAUGGUUACUCAUUAGUCAGGAAGUUAGCAAGAAUUAAACAAAUAUAUAAAGUAACUUGGUAUGACAAUUUUUGUUGUUUAAUUGAAAUGUUUAAACCUUAUAGGUAAACUUACGGACAGCUUUUUAUGUUUUUAUUUAUUUAUUUUAAUGAUUUUUAUUUUUGUUUUAUUUUUUACUUUAUUUUAAUUUUGUGCACCCAGACAUGUGUUAGUUUGAAUUUUACAUCAAACAUUUUAAUUAUUAUCAUGAUUUUACCUUUGCAUACAAGAAGACUAUAUACAGUAAAGAAUUUCCUUGAUUCUAGUUUUUCCCCAAACAGGUCAAUGCAGCAAAAGUAAAGGAGCAUAUAAUGGCACAGGAGUGUAUUUGUUUAAUUCUUGCUCAUUUGUUGUUACGACCAUUAAAAGCUUAAUAUUUUUGCCUUAGCCCUUUUUUUUUUUUCUUUUUUUUUUCCCAGGAGUGUAUAGGGGUCAGUGAGUAUGUUGCCCUAUGAUUGUGCAACAUCUGGAAUGGUGAGCAAAUCAGUGGAACAUCAUCUUAUAUCUGUCAAAAAGUGACAUCUUUUUCCAAAAUUGUUAGUUGCACAAAAGAGCUAAUUAGUAUUCAAUGGAAUUUAAAUUAUAUGGAGUUGUGACUGAGGACUUUGUGAAGAUUAAUAUUUGUUGAACGGCUGAUAUAUAUGGUGGAACUCUGCCCCACCUUCCCCCAUGGAACCGCCACUGCUAUCUAUGCAGGUUGUACAUAGACGACCUGCAAAUAUUUAUGGUACUCAUUUAAAAGCUACUUCCACAUAACUGUCAAUUAGCCUCUUAGCGUACAUGGACUAUAAUUUGUGGUGAUUGUAACAAGGAAGGUCCUCGUAUUUUCUCCUUUAUUUUAAUGCACAGGCCUAAUUCCAUGUAGAAUAAAGUUUUAAGCAAAAGUGUUUCAGCACCCAUAAGUAUGUGUGUAUGUGUGAUUGCCACAGCAUGAUAACAUAAUUUCAUACGCCACAAGCCAGAGCAAUUACAUGAAUGCCAUUGGAGGCACUCAUAUUACAGGCUAUUUAGAUCAAAUUGGAUAGAACUGCAUAAACAGUGACUUUGCCUACAGGGAAUGAAGUCAUUAUCCGAUUCGUACGCAGCUCUGUCGUCCUUUCCUCUCCGUCCCCGUUGGAGAUAAGUACGAGUACAGCAGUUGUAUCGGCCAGGCCUGUGCCCACACACCGCAGGCAUGAAAACAGUGGAACCACAAGCACUGUGCACCAUAAACACAGCCUGCUAUAGAGGCACUCACACUACAGUACACACAUCCUGAAUCCCCAUGGGAAAGCACACUGAGCUCGGACCGAGCGAUGAAACCUGACAGAAAAUAAUGUGUUAGCCAGUGUAUAUUAGAGCAGCAUAUUUGUGUUGAUCAUUACUUUUUUUUGUUUCAGUGGUGCUACAUUGGUCAUAAAAAAGACUCCAAAUAAUGAGAGUGAGGACAGCUGGGAGAAUUGGAGAUCUGCUGAAUUUGUAGAAUUGCCAGUUGUACUUUACCUUAAGUACUUUGCUUGAGUUCAGUUAAAUGAUAAAUUGAAACAACAUCCCAGAGGCAUACGAGUUCCAAAGGCACAUGGCUGAAUUAAAGACGAGGCCCAUUAUUGAAAACUAAUCAGUAUACAGUCUGCACUGUACAGUUUUCUUCAUUCAGCUGCUUUUUCUCUUGUGUCCAAGCAAGGUCCCCUCCUCAUAUCCCAUCCCCCUGCUCCUGCUACUUUCCUUUGACUGGCCCCCACUUUAAAGUCUUGCCCCUCUUCCUCGCCUCUGCUCUCAUCUUAACUUCCUCCUCUCAAAGCUCGCCUCCCCUUUUUCUAAACUCAAGCUGCAUUUUUUUUUCUUGGAAGUGUCGUUCUUGUCUAGAUCUGGACAUUUCUUACAUUCCCUAUAUUCAUUACUUCAUGCUGAGGCUAUAUAGUCUGGAAUUUGGAAAUCUCCCAGAAGCUAACCCAAUCUUGCACAACACCAUGGCACAGUUGUGGCUACUCCUAUUUCUACAAGUAUACAAAAAUUACUAUUGUGUUUUUACAGUGAAUAUAAAAAGUCUACACAACCCUGUUAAUACUGCAGGUUUUUGUGAUCAAGAUAAAAUUAUGGGGGGAGCCUACCAAUUCAGCACAUCUUGAUUUGGAAUUUUGUUUCUCACUCUUCCUUGCAAAAUGCUCCAAAUCUAUCAAAUUAUAACAGUAUCUCCUGUUUUCAGCACUCUUCAAGGCAUUCCACAAGUUUGAGAUAUAAUUUACACCUGGGCUCUGACUGGGCCAUUCCAAAACUUUGAUCAUCUGGGUCUGAAGCCAUUCCUUUGUUGAUUUGGAUUUGUGCUUUGGGUCAUUAUAGUGCUGGAAGGUGAAAAUUUUCUUUAGCUGUCUAACAGAGGCCUGCAGGUUUUGUUCCAAAAUAAAUAGGUAUUUGGUGUUAUCCAUGAUUCCCUCUAUUUUGACUAGAGCCCCAGUCCCAGCUGAAGAGAAGCAGCCCUAUAUCAUGAUGCUGACACCACCAUGCUUCACUAUGGGUAUGGUGAUCUUUGGGUGAUAAACUGUCUUGUUUUUGUAAGAAUGUGAAGAAUAUGAGAGUUUGUUGUCACAGGCAGGGCAUGACCAGUACUUACCAGAUAUUCCUGUAACUCCUUUAAUGUUGCUAUAGGUCUCUUUUAGCCCCCCUGAUUUUUUUUUAGGGUGGCUGUGGCUCAGGUGGUAGAGCGGGUUGUCCACUAGUCAUAAGGUUGGCAGUUUGAUUCCUGGCCCACAUGACUCUACAUGCCGAAGUGUCCUUGGGCAAGACACUGAACCCCAAGUUGUUCCCGAUGGCAAGUUAGCGCCUUGCAUGGCAGCUCUGCUACCAUUGGUGUGUGAGUGUGUGUGUGAAUGGGUGAAUGAGACACAGUAUAAAGCGCUUUGGAAAAAACCGCUAUAUAAGUGCACACAAUUAUUUAUGGGUUUUUUUUGGGGGGGGGGUUGCCCUUUUUUUUGCAGUUCCUAUAUUUUGGUGCCACUGGUAUCACUUGUUGAUGAUGGUCUUCCCAGUGUUGUAAACUCUUUGCAGAUCAUAAAUUAAUGUCGGAUGCAAACCAAGAUGUCAAGAAAAUUCUAUAGAAUCAGCCGAUAUUUAUUUGGGUUUAAUCAGUAUCACCUUUGAACAUGAGUUUGAAUGUGAUUGGUUAAAUCUGAGCACAGUUGCAUGCCCCAUUUAAUAGUGUGUGCACACUUGUGCAACUAGGUUAUUGUACAUUUUUUUGUUCCCCCUAAAAUGUUUUGUUUGGUGUUUUUUUCCACGUGAAUUUUGUUGGCUGCUGUAUCACAUUAAAGGUGGAAAAACAUCCGGUAUGAUUUAUCUUUAUAUAUUGUUUUUUUUUUUUUACAUUGCAAAAACCUGAAAUUUUAACAAGGGUGUGUAGACUUUUUAUAUCAACUGUAUAAAUUAUCAUUUUAAAAUUAUUUUUUAGCAACAGUAAUUAAAUAGCAAAGAUUCAUUUAACUAAAGUUGUACUGACCUUUUCCCAUUUCAGAUAAUUAAAAUUAUUCAAAGAAAUGAUCUUUUGAUAAUAGAUAAGUAACAAAAAUUGGUCAAUUAGCAAAAUUUCUGAUAAGACACAUUAUCACAUUAUAUUAGUACUGUUUAUUACCUGUAUAAAAAAAAUAAAAUAAAAUAAAAUAAAAAAUGUAUUCUGUGUUAACUCAGGUUGCCUUUGUUUUAUCUUACAUUCUGUUUUAAUUUCUGAAACAAUUUAAUAUGAGAUCUACACAAAAACUUGAGUUUUUGCCUACUUAUUUUUGUUUACUCACAGCUCUUAAUUCAGUUAAACCAUGUUAACAGAUCUACAAAGAUCUCACAUUCAGCUGCAUAUCAAAUGCAUGAUUUUAAUCACAGAUUAAAUGAGAUUUUUAUGAGAUUUUAUUGGGCAUGAUUUGUCAAUAAGUCCACAAAAGAGGAAGUUUUUAUUAAUUAUCAGAGCAACAGAACUGCCUGAUCUUAACAAAUACUAUCUGUGCCAUGAAAGGUUGAACGUUUGCCGUCAGAGAGAGUCUCAUCAGGGAUGUGUGACACUGCUGUGCGCAGUGAGCCGAUGGCAUCCAAAGGCAAUUAGCAUGGAGAGAGUAGAUUCCGGAACUAUCCGGGCUAGGUGAAAAUGCUGUGUCCUCUAAUGAGGCGUGACCAGACUCAUGAGUUACCAUAGAAACACUCACCAAGCUGCUGCAAUGCCAUCAAAUCCCUGUAACAUCAUUUCCGUCUCAUUUCUACACUGAAUGCAAGAUCAAAGCCAAAUCACAAGGUUGUUUUUUUUCCAUGAGCACAAAUAACUUGUUCUAAUAUAUGGAUCAUAUUUACAUAUUGAUAUUGAAUAUUGAAAUAUAGCACUGGUCUCAGGUUUUUUCCCCACUUCCUUAGCUAAUACGACAAUAUUCUGUGGUAAGUUUUCAUAUUGAUAUAAUUGUGCCUUUAAAGAAAUAUUGUUAAUUGAAUCUUGUGUGAUUUAACUAUCUCCGAUAUCCCCACAGUGUUAUUCAUCUAUGUAUGUGUGUACAGUCAACUCCAGAAUUAUUGCCACCCUUCAAAAGAAUGAGCUUCUUAUUUCAUAAAUCAUUAUAUAUAAUGUUUUAAAAUGUCUCAGAAUUAUUCAUAAAAGCUGUUUUUUGUGUUUUGUCUGUCAAUAGCAUGGCAGUUUGUUUUUUUUUAACCCACUCAUAUUAUUUUCUUAUUGCCUCUUGUACAAUAUUACUGUUAAUCAGCACAUGCAAAAUCCAAAAGAGACUGCACAUUUGUCUGCACAGUUCAGGUAAUGGAUAUUAUGGAAGAAUUUUGGAGACAAUUUUCAAAAGCAACUGCCAAAUUACAAAAGGAAAAAAAAAAUGCAAAGUCUAUUUGCAAUUGCAUUUCCUGUGUCUUACUUGCGUUUCCCAUGAUAUCACUUCCAAAUACAAACACGCCCCAUAGUAUAUUCCCACCCCCAACACUGAUUGGCAGGUUUCUGUGCAAGACAUUGUAAAUGCAAAUGCAAAGGGAUUUGCGAUUCCGUUUGAAUUUUGGCAGGCUCCGUAUGCGACACUGAGGAAGUCAAAUAGUAAACGGAGUAACUGCUAUUGCUAUUUCGAUAUGACAGGGUCAUAACUCAUAAGACAUAGGAAAUGCAUUGCAAUUUUGUUAAAAGGCGCACCAAAAUCAAGUAUUUUUGGCCGCAACAAUAAAAAAAAAAUCUCCUAUAUGGACUCCGUAAUCCUGUACGGACUGAUAAAGAAGCUUGAAAUGUUUGGUAUGGUGGAGUGGUUC
ensembl:lncRNA